rnacentral:rRNA from 1 species
CGACGAGUUUGAUCAUGGCUCAGAACGAACGCUGGCGGCAGGCCUAACACAUGCAAGUCGAGCGAUCCUUUCGGGGAUAGCGGCGGACGGGUGAGUAACGCGUGGGAACGUACCCUUUGCUACGGAAUAGCCUCGGGAAACUGGGAGUAAUACCGUAUGUGCCCUUCGGGGGAAAGAUUUAUCGGCAAAGGAUCGGCCCGCGUUGGAUUAGGUAGUUGGUGGGGUAAUGGCCUACCAAGCCGACGAUCCAUAGCUGGUUUGAGAGGAUGAUCAGCCACACUGGGACUGAGACACGGCCCAGACUCCUACGGGAGGCAGCAGUGGGGAAUCUUAGACAAUGGGGGCAACCCUGAUCUAGCCAUGCCGCGUGAGUGAUGAAGGCCCUAGGGUUGUAAAGCUCUUUCAGCUGGGAAGAUAAUGACGGUACCAGCAGAAGAAGCCCCGGCUAACUCCGUG